CGCUUUGCUGUGUGCAAACUGGGAUUAUGAAAUCCGCAAAAAAAAUGUUCCUCUUUUUGGACUGGCCCACGCCGAAUCCAUAAGAAAAAUAUUUGGAAACAAUCUUCUACUCGAUAAAAUCUUUUGUCGCACAACAACUCGCACUGGCUUGGUGGUGUUACUAUGCAUAGGACUUGUGCGUCGACGUCGCAUCUUAGUUUCCCUCAUUCAGCAUCAACGUCUAAAACACCAAAAGUGCUGUUAAUAAAUCAGACGAACCCAGCUCUGUCUGUCUGAAGGGUCUUGACACUACACAGAGUCGUCUAACGAGAUGAAAGCCUGGCACAUCUAAUUGGUCCCCUGAGACGGGAGGUAUCGAAUAGCUAAAUAUCACUGCGGAGCAUGAAAGAUAGAUGGCUUGAAAUAGCAGGCGCUAACCUUGCUUAGAAUAAUUUCAGCUCUAAGGUCAGGAUAGGUAGAUUUUACAUAUCUAAUCCUGUUAGUACCAGUCUGACAUAUGUGGUAUCCCCUAUAGUAGCACAAUGGGGGAUGUAAUGUAGAUGUUUUAAUGCUGAGUUAUAGAAACCGUUUUACCAGAACUCUAUCCAAAAUAAAGUAUUACUACAUCGAAAAAUAUAGAUAACUUAGUCAUAUUUUGCCGAGAAGUGACAUUGUUUAACCUGAGCAAGCCUUAUGCAGUACUUACACGGUAUGUUUAAAACGAAGACGUCAAGUUCAAGUUACAAAUACCCUUUACGUUCAAAGGCAAAUGCGAAAAUAUCUUGUGUACCGAAACGUCUAACAAAGCACACAGGAAGCCUGUUUGGAGACGUAGACGUACACAAAGAGUGUAGAAAUUUCACCGGUGACCGCUAUUUAAACGAAAAACUAUAUCCUGCAAGUUAUAGUUUUCUAUUGGCUAACAUUACAGACUUUAAUUGUUCUCUGAGGUAGGGAGCUGCCUCCCACAAACAAGAACGGGCGCUAUAUUCUUUGGCAUUAAAUUAAGAAAAAUAAAAAUAAAAAUAGAUAUAUAAUGUAGUAGUAUUAGAAAGAAAGAGAAAUGGUGAAAUAUUAUUUAGGGUUGUCAUUACACUAACGAAACAAUA